UAGGAGGGCAAGGGUGAGGUGGAGGGUCACAGGGAGGUUGAAAUUGAGAGUGAUGGCGACGAAGACGACGAGCCUGGUGGAGACAAUGACAACGAGGGCGAGAGGGAACAAAAGUCAAGGUGAAUGUUCAAAAAACGACAACGUUCAUUUUGCCGUUGAGGGGUAACCUCUUUCUCUUCUUUCUAUUCAGGUCAUAUUUUUUAGAGAGCUAGAUUUGGAUAUCAACGAACAUCUUCCCAGCUUAUUGUGUGGCUACCAUUGAGUUUUCUAGACGGCAGAUUCCAAUUGCUUUCCUUCAACGAAUCAACGAGGAUUUUACCAAGAAAUAUGUUGGAGGAAAAGCAGCAACAACAGCUGCUCAGAGCCUCAACAGAGAGUUUGGUUGAAGGAGCAGAUGAAGUAUUGUGUUGAUCAUGCAGAGGAAAUUAGCAAGCUUGCAAAAGUUAAGGCUCAAGUUUGACAAGUCAAAGGAGUUAUGAUGGAAACUAUCUAAAAGGCUGUUGACCGUGGGGCAAAAGUUGAGCUUUUGAUAGAUAAAAUAGAGAACAUUCACUUCCAGAAAGUUGCUCCAGAGACAGCUGAGGCAGCUUCACAUUUAUUCUUGAUGAUCCUGCUGGAAACAGCUUCAUUGAAAACCCGAAUCUGAGUGAUUAUAGUUGGUUCCACUCACAUUGAAGGAACUCAUGAUCAAGUGCUAGAAAAGGGAGACGUGACUGCUGAUCAAGGGAGGAGAGAACCUCAUAGCUGGUCAUCGAGCCAUUGCACAGAGUAACAAUUCAGAAAUUGUCGUGGGCCUUAGAGCAUGUGACAUGCAAGCCCCGAAGGAGUCCAGGUUGAAUUUUUCCCUAACAUAUAUUCAACCUUUUCAGUUUAUUAUGAAGAGAUAAUAUAAUUUGUUAAUGUUAUAUGUCACCUAAAAUUUGUUAAGAUUAUGUAAUCAUUUAUUCUUUCAACACGUAAAUGCUGUUCAAACUA